GAUGAACGCUAGCUACAGGCUUAACACAUGCAAGUCGGGGGGAAACGAUGAGAGAGCUUGCUCUCUUAGGCGUCGACCGGCGCACGGGUGAGUAACGCGUAUCCAACCUACCCAUUACAGGGGGAUAACCUUGCGAAAGUAAGACUAAUACCCCAUGGCAUUUUAUGGUGGCAUCAUUAUAGGAUUAAAGAUUUAUUGGUAAUGGAUGGGGAUGCGUCUGAUUAGCUUGUUGGCGGGGUAACGGCCCACCAAGGCAACGAUCAGUAGGGGUUCUGAGAGGAAGGUCCCCCACAUUGGAACUGAGACACGGUCCAAACUCCUACGGGAGGCAGCAGUGAGGAAUAUUGGUCAAUGGGCGAGAGCUUGAACCAGCCAAGUAGCGUGCAGGAUGACGGCCCUAUGGGUUGUAAACUGCUUUUAUAGGGGAAUAAAGUGAGCUACGUGUAGUUUAUUGCAUGUACCCUAUGAAUAAGGACCGGCUAAUUCCGUG
rnacentral:rRNA from 1 species